CCUACGGGUGGCUGCAGUGGGGAAUAUUGGACAAUGGGCGAAAGCCUGAUCCAGCCAUGCCGCGUGUGUGAAGAAGGCCUUCGGGUUGUAAAGCACUUUCAGUGGGGAAGAAAGCCUUGGGGCUAAUACCCUCGAGGAAGGACAUCACCCACAGAAGAAGCACCGGCUAACUCCGUGCCAGCAGCCGCGGUAAUACGGAGGGUGCGAGCGUUAAUCGGAAUUACUGGGCGUAAAGCGCGCGUAGGCGGUCUGAUAAGCCGGUUGUGAAAGCCCCGGGCUCAACCUGGGAACGGCAUCCGGAACUGUCAGGCUAGAGUGCAGGAGAGGAAGGUAGAAUUCCCGGUGUAGCGGUGAAAUGCGUAGAGAUCGGGAGGGAUACCAGUGGCGAAGGCGGCCUUCUGGACUGACACUGACGCUGAGGUGCGAAAGCGUGGGUAGCAAACAGGAUUAGAUACCCGAGUAGUC
rnacentral:rRNA from 1 species